CUUUUUAUAACAAGUGGUUUCUGCCCUAUGAUUUAUUUUAAAUGGCCGCGGUAUUUUGACCGUGCAAAGGUAGCAUAAUCAUUUGCCUUUUUAUUGGGGGCUAGAAUGAAAGAAAGCAUAAAGAUAUAGCUGUCUCUUCUACAUAAAUAUAAGUUGCUGUCAUGGUGAAGAAGCCAUGAUCUAAAAAAAAGACAAGAAGACCCUAAUAAGCUUUAUUUUUAUGUCCUGUUUUUUAUCUUUAAAGAAUAAAAAACAGUACUUUAUGAAUUUGGUUGGGGUGACUAAAAAGGAAAAAAUCCUUUUUUUUCUUAAAAACUAGUGUGUUUAAAAAAGAUCCAGGUUUUCUGAUUAAAUGUAUAAGUUACUAUAGGGAUAACAGCGUAAUUUUUUCAGAGAGUUCAUAUCGAAGAAAAAGAUUGCGACCUCGAUGUUGACUUAUUAUCUCCUGUUAAGGUGUAGUAGCUAAAAAGGUUAGUCUGUUCGACUAUUAAAAUAAU
rnacentral:rRNA from 1 species